AGUGAACGCUGGCGGUAGGCCUAACACAUGCAAGUCGAGCGGCAGCACAGUAAGAGCUUGCUCUUACGGGUGGCGAGUGGCGGACGGGUGAGGAAUACAUCGGAAUCUACUUUUUCGUGGGGGAUAACGUAGGGAAACUUACGCUAAUACCGCAUACGACCUACGGGUGAAAGCAGGGGAUCUUCGGACCUUGCGCGAUUGAAUGAGCCGAUGUCGGAUUAGCUAGUUGGCGGGGUAAAGGCCCACCAAGGCGACGAUCCGUAGCUGGUCUGAGAGGAUGAUCAGCCACACUGGAACUGGGACACGGUCCAGACUCCUACGGGGGGCAGCAGUGGGGAAUAUUGGACAAUGGGCGCAAGCCUGAUCCAGCCAUACCGCGUGGGUGAAGAAGGCCUUCGGGUUGUAAAGCCCUUUUGUUGGGAAAGAAAAGCAGCAGGUUAAUACCCCGCUGUUCUGACGGUACCCAAAGAAUAAGCACCGGCUAACUUCGUG
rnacentral:rRNA from 1 species